rnacentral:rRNA from 1 species
UUUUAGUCGAAGUCAGUGAUCCCAUGCUGCCAAGAAAAGCCUCUAGCGAGCUUCGAGCGGCCCGUACCCCAAACCGACACAGGUGGUCAGGUAGAGAAUACCGAGGCGAUCGGGCGAACUGUGGUUAAGGAACUCGGCAAAUUACCCCCGUAACUUCGGGAGAAGGGGGGCCACAGACCGUGAAACCCCAUGCGGGUGGCAGCGGUAGGUGGCUGCAGAGACCAGGGGGAAGCGACUGUUUACUAAAAACACAGGUCCGUGCGAAGUCGUAAGACGAUGUAUACGGACUGACGCCUGCCCGGUGCUGGAACGUUAAGGGGACCGGUUAGUCCGCAAGGGCGAAGCUGAGAACUUAAGCGCCAGUAAACGGCGGUGGUAACUAUAACCAUCCUAAGGUAGCGAAAUUCCUUGUCGGGUAAGUCCCGACCUGCACGAAUGGCGUAACGACUUCCCUACUGUCUCAACCACAGGCCCGGCGAAAUUGCACUACGAGUAAAGAUGCUUACGCGCGGAAGGACGGAAAGACCCCGGGACCUUCACUAUAGCUUGACAUUGGUACUCGAAUUGAAUUGUGUAGGAUAGGUGGGAGACUAUGAAGCUCGGACGCCAGUCCGGGUGGAGUCAACGUUGAAAUACCACUCUGUUGAAUUUGGGUAUCUAACUUCGGACCGUGAUCCGGUUCAGGGACAGUGUCUGGUGGGUAGUUUAACUGGGGCGGUUGCCUCCUAAAAUGUAACGGAGGCGCCCAAAGGUUCCCUCAGCCUGGUUGGCAAUCAGGUGUUGAGUGCAAGUGCACAAGGGAGCUUGACUGUGAGACUGACAGGUCGAGCAGGGACGAAAGUCGGGACUAGUGAUCCGGCACCGGCGAGUGGAAGCGGUGUCGCUCAACGGAUAAAAGGUACCCCGGGGAUAACAGGCUGAUCUUCCCCAAGAGUCCAUAUCGACGGGAUGUUUGGCACCUCGAUGUCGGCUCGUCGCAUCCUGGGGCUGGAGUAGGUCCCAAGGGUUGGGCUGUUCGCCCAUUAAAGCGGCACGCGAGCUGGGUUUAGAACGUCGUGAGACAGUUCGGUCCCUAUCCUCCGCGCGCGCAGGAGACUUGAGAAGAGCUGUCCCUAGUACGAGAGGACCGGGACGGACGAACCUCUGGUGUGCCAGUUGUCAUGCCAAUGGCACGGCUGGUUAGCUACGUUCGGAAGGGAUAACCGCUGAAAGCAUCUAAGCGGGAAGCCUGCUUCAAGAUGAGGUCUCCCACCCCUCGAGGGUUAAGGCCCCCAGCAGGACCACUGGGUUGAUAGGCCAGAAGUGUAAGCCUGGUAACAGGUUCAGCCGACUGGUACUAAUAGGCCGAGGACUUCACU